GAUGAACGCUAGCGGCAGGCUUAAUACAUGCAAGUCGCGGGGUAACAUGGGUAGCAAUACCUGAUGACGACCGGCAAACGGGUGCGGAACACGUACGCAACCUUCCCAUAACUGGAGAAUAGCCUUUCGAAAGAGAGAUUAAUACACCGUAACAUAAUGAAGAGGCAACUCUUUAUUAUUAUAGCAGCAAUGCGGUUUUGGUUGGGCGUGCGCCUGAUUAGGUCGUUGGCGGGGUAACGGCCCACCAAGCCUACGAUGAGUAACUGGUGUGAGAGCACCACUAUUCACACGGGAGCUGAGACACGGGCCCGACUCCUACGGGCGGCAGCAGUAAGGACUAUUGGUCAAUGGACGAAAGUCUGAACCAGCCAUGCCGCGUGAAGGAUGAAGGUCCUCUGGAUUGUAAACUUCUUUUAUAUGGGACGAAAGAAGGGUUUUCUAACUCACUUGACGGUACCAUAGGAAUAAGCACCGGCUAACUCCGUGCCAGCCGCCGCGGUAAUAC
rnacentral:rRNA from 1 species